UUUGCUCUUUGCUGAAUGGAAAGACUCAGGGCCCCGUUUCACUUUCUCCACAGGAGCAGUGCUGAAACCAGCCCCAAGAAGACGUCCACAAAGCGCUGCGCUGCCCCGGGGCCCUGAAGGGAGCCUUUGAGAUGGAAGGGCCCGGGGAGACAGGUGGCCGAUUUCCAAACAGAGCCCCUGCACGUGGUGAGCCAUUCAGCUCUCGCAGGACAGGACUCCACGCAUCAGACGGUGAUUUUGGAUGAGAUGAUUCUGAGCCCGGCCUUGGGAGUCUGAAGCACAGGGGUCUGUGCGGAUAACCAGCGUGGAGGGCGAGUUUGUGCCCUGUUUCAGUGCAACGAUUCGAAGGAAAAGCAACCCUGGAAAAAGGACAGGGGUGGCGGUGCAGCACGUCUCACCCAUGUGAACAUCCCCGCAAAGAGGACAGUCAGUGGCAAGGAGCACAGACCAGGACCAGACUAGCCCGAGGGGCCGAGCCCGGGUGGCCAGGGCCGCCCAGCAGGUGAGAACUGACCACUGA